AAAAAACACAUAUUAUUAAUCAACAUCCUUUAAAUAUAAACAUAACAAAAAUCACACAAAUCCCUCCAGUGGAUAAAAAGUUAGACGGAAGUCCUUUAUGACCGACCGCAAGCACAUUUUCAUGCCCAAAACAGUUCCAUAGAUGUGGGCUAUGCGGUCUGUCUAUUUCAAGCUGAAAAAAUGAUUAAGUCCCAUCGCCGAAUGGGACUUAGUCUCUGCGGCUGAAAGUUCAGUAUGGGCGAAGGUACAGGUCAGCGGUGUUCGCGGAAAUGUACAGACGAUUUUAGUUCCAUGAAUUUUGAUGAAU